rnacentral:pre_miRNA from 13 species
UAAUUUAUUUGAGGCAAAUCCUCAUUUAAUUAUAACAGACCCACACCUGACUGUUCAGAAUCACCUAUUAUCACAAAUCCGACUACUUCUUUGGCAUUUAAAAACAAAGAACAAUUACUAUGUGGACAAUAACUUGAGAUCAUAAA